GGGCUAGUGUAUAAUGGAUAACGCGCCGCCUGACUACGGAUCAGGAGAUUCAAGGUUCGAAUCCUGGCUGGCUCG